rnacentral:miRNA from 1 species
UAUUUCACUGAGGGCUCUGUGC